AGAGUUUGAUCCUGGCUCAAUUGAACGCUGGCGGNNUGCCUUACACAUGCAAGUCGAACGGUAGAGGGGCAACCCUUGAGAGUGGCGAACGGGUGAGUAAUGCAUCGGAACGUGCCCGNNCGUGGGGGAUAACGCAGCGAAAGCUGUGCUAAUACCGCANGUGAUCUGUGGAUGAAAGCAGGGGACUUGGUAGCAAUACUGGGCCUUGUGCGAUUGGAGCGGCCGAUGUCAGAUUANCUAGUUGGUAGGGUAAAAGCCUACCAAGGCGACGAUCUGUAGCUGGUCUGAGAGGACGACCAGCCACACUGGGACUGAGACACGGCCCAGACUCCUACGGGAGGCAGCAGUGGGGAAUUUUGGACAAUGGGCGCAAGCCUGAUCCAGCAAUGCCGCGUGCAGGACGAAGGCCUUCGGGUUGUAAACUGCUUUUGUACGGAGCGAAACGGUCUGGGUUAAUACCCUAGGCUAAUGACGGUACCGUAAGAAUAANCACCGGCUAACUACGUGCCAGCCGCCGCGGUAAUAC
rnacentral:rRNA from 1 species